AUGAACAAAGAACUUAAUAAAAUGGAAAGCCUUCUGUACGUUCUUGAUCUCAGCUACCAGAAGAUGGCACUCUUGUUCCUCAGCAGUGAACCUGGAGGCUUUGAAGCUGUCAGGAGUAUCAGUCACCUAUCUCUCCAUGAAAGAAAUAUAAUAAAGAAGGCGCCUUCACCCUGUUUAUCUGAACCGAUUGAGAUUCUUUAUGUGCAGGUGCAACUAAUCCUUUCAAGAUGUAAUGAAGCUCAAUAAAUCCUCCUUCUGCAAUAUCUUCACUAGUCUUUGGAACUGAUUUUGCUUUUUGUGAGAGGCCAAGUGCAGAAUGGCUUCGCACAAUGCCGUGUGUUUAAGCAAUAAGGAGACUGCCCCAUUGUCUUGUGUCAAGCUGCCUGGGAUGCAAUUUCCUUUUUCCUGUUCUCAAAAUUAGCUGAUGAGAGCAAGUUCCCCAGGUGAGCAUAAGUUCUCCAGGUUUCUUUUUUUUUCCCCCUGAAAAGUAGGUGACCAAAGAAUCAUGCCUUCACUAGCUGUUAUUCUCAACUUUAUGUGCUAGCAAAUUCACAUGGUCACAAUAUAUGAUCCUAUAUCUCCAUCACUGCUUCUUAUUAGUAGAACAAAGUACUUCCCUCCUAUUCAUUUUCCUUUUAGUGAUUUGUAAAUAAUGAAGUUAUACAUUGGAAAUGUUCAGAAUUAUCAUAAACAUUAAGAUCACUAGCAUGCAAAUGUAUAUAUAUAUGUGUAUGUAUACUUACAUUUUAUAUAUAUGCCUCUGUGUGUGUGUGUGUGUGUGUGUGUGUGUGUGUGUGUGUGUGAUUAAUUUCUUUGUUUACUUAUGUAAUACACAACACCUUGCCUUUUGGACUUGAUAGCCAGUAACCAUCGUUUCAAGCUAGCAUUUUUUUUGUCAUUUUGUAAGAAAUUUCAAAUAAGGUGUGGUUAAUAAGAAAUACUACUGCUAUUUAGCUAUGUGCUUCUGUGAGAAGUUGUGUAGAUAACAGGACUUUUCUGAGUUAUUCAUAGCUUGGGAGAAUUACAGUAAUAUCGACGGAUAAGCUAUGGGUCUCACCCCUUCACUCUCGGUUUUGAAAACCAGUAGCUGGCAAAGAGAGUGAAUAAAAAGCCAAUGCAGAGGAGGCCUGCUACUCA
rnacentral:lncRNA from 1 species